rnacentral:rRNA from 1 species
GACGAACGCUGGCGGCGUGCUUAACACAUGCAAGUCGAACGGUGAAGCCUUCGGGUGGAUCAGUGGCGAACGGGUGAGUAACACGUGAGCAAUCUGCCCUUGACUCUGGGAUAACUUCGGGAAACCGGAGCUAAUACCGGAUAUGACAUCUGGCCGCAUGGUCUGGGUGUGGAAAGAUUUAUCGGUCAAGGAUGAGCUCGCGGCCUAUCAGCUUGUUGGUGGGGAAUGGCCCACCAAGGCGACGACGGGUAGCCGGCCUGAGAGGGCGACCGGCCACACUGGGACUGAGACACGGCCCAGACUCCUACGGGAGGCAGCAGUGGGGAAUAUUGCGCAAUGGGCGGAAGCCUGACGCAGCGACGCCGCGUGAGGGAUGAAGGCCU